rnacentral:rRNA from 1 species
UUGCUCUUCAACGAGGAAUACCUAGUAAGCGUGAGUCAUCAGCUCGCGUUGAUUACGUCCCUGCCCUUUGUACACACCGCCCGUCGCUACUACCGAUUGAAUGGCUUAGUGAGGUCUCCGGAUUGGCUUUGGGGAGCCGGCAACGGCACCCUAUUGCUGAGAAGCUGAUCAAACUUGGUCAUUUAGAGGAAGUAAAAGUCGUAACAAGGUUUCCGUAGGUGAACCUGCGGAAGGAUCAUUAUUGAAUAAAUCUGACGUGGUUGCAGCUGACUCUCCGGAGUACGUGCUCGCCUAGUCACCUUUAUCUUUCCACCUGUGCACACACUGUAGUCCUGGAUACCUCUCGUCGAAAGGCGGAUGCAGGGUUUGCUGUGACUUCGCAAGAAGGCCGGCUCACUCUGAAUUUCCAGGUCUAUGAUCUCACACACCCCAAACUGAAUGUUACAGAAUGUUAUCAUCGGGCUUCGUGCCUAUAAAUUUAUACAACUUUCAGCAACGGAUCUCUUGGCUCUCGCAUCGAUGAAGAACGCAGCGAAAUGCGAUAAGUAAUGUGAAUUGCAGAAUUCAGUGAAUCAUCGAAUCUUUGAACGCACCUUGCGCUCCUUGGUAUUCCGAGGAGCAUGCCUGUUUGAGUGUCAUUAAUUUCUCAACCUCACCAGCUUUUGCUGAGUGUAGGCUUGGAUGUGGGGGUUGCAGGUCCGCUAACGUGGUCUGCUCCUCUGAAAUGUAUUAGUGGGUUGGGCCCCUAAUCUAUUGGUGUGAUAAUUAUCUACGCCGUGGAUUUGGGUGGCUGGAUUAGACCCGCUUCUAACCGUCCUUCACCGGACAACUCUUGACAAUUUUGGCCUCAAAUCAGGUAAGACUACCCGCUGAACUUAAGCAUAUCAAUAAGCGGAGGA